UACCAGCACCCCGAGUGGUCGGGACGAUUAUUGGGCCUAAAGCAUCCGUAGCCGGCCUUACAAGUCCCCCGUUAAAUCCAGCUGCUUAACAGAUGGGCUGCGGAGGAUACUAUAAGACUAGGAGGCAGGAGAGGCAAGCGGUACUCAGUGGGUAGGGGUAAAAUCCGUUGAUCCAUUGAAGACCACCAGUGGCGAAGGCGGCUUGCCAGAACGCGCUCGACGGUGAGGGAUGAAAGCUGGGGGAGCAAACCGG
rnacentral:rRNA from 1 species